UCCGGGAUUCGGCCAGAGCCAAUCGAAUCCCAGUGUUUGGCGCGUCUGUCUGUGGCGUCAGAGGCGUCAUGUGGGGAACUCGGGAAGUACCUUGUUGAGCGGCCUCAAUACGCUAACGAGUGGGUUCUGUUGUCUGCUGGCAGCAGUUUCUUCUUGUCUUUAUCACAACACACGCCGUCGGGCCAGUUUCACAGUCUUGAAGUAUAUAACAACAGCAUAGCCACGUAAAGAGAAGGUGUAUGUCCCCUAGUUAUUGAAGUCAGCAGCUAUUCAAUUCAUCAAGCUGGAUUCUGUCUAGGCCUGGGGUUCCCAACCUUUCUUACUCGUGAGCCACAGUCAAAUAUAAAAAGACUUGGAGAGCAACACAAGCAUCAUAAAAGUUCAUGGAGCAGGAAAAAUAAUUCCUUGUUGGGGCCUGAGUAAAAGUAGACCUUAUAAACCUGGAGUAAAUGGCUUUCCCUGGAGAAAUGUACAAACUGUUGACAGCUUUUGCAUCACUGUUCUUUACGUUACCAGUAGCUGAAGCAAUGGAUGAAGGAAAUACAAUUGCAGUGCUACUUGGUGUAGUCAUUACUGCAAUUGGAUUCUGUGCAUGUUUGGGAUACUAUGCAAGAAAGAAAGAAGGGUUUCACUAAUACCUUUCACUACAAUGAAGUGUUCAGACAGAUGACUUCAGCUCCUGGUCCAUAAUUCAAAAACAUUUUUAUUUUUACAAUGCAUUUUAUUUUGUAAUGUAAAACAUGCAGGAAAAACAACUGUUACUAUAAAUAGUACAUAAUGGUCUUUAAAUCUGUACAUUUCGUAUUGCUUUUUCCUUUUAAAUAUUAGUAUCGAUCUUCGUUCUUCCUAACAAAGUGCUUGAUACGGUGUAUAUGGCAAGCUAUUUAGAGGUUUUCCAAAUUUUCAGUAUAAAAUCACUGUAAUGAUAGCCAUAGCAUGUUUUUAGUGAGGAGGGAAAAGAACUGCAACUUUAUAAUUGCCAUGAUCUAGAGUUCCUAUUUUGUUAUGGAUAUUUGACUUUAUUGAUGUAAAGAAUAUGAAAGGGUAUCCUCAUUUCUGCUUAUUAAAUAUACUUGGUAUUUUGAAUUUUAUUUUUUCUUUUCGCUAGAUAAAGCAAUAAAUGUUAUUCUUCUAGUAAA